UUUCCGUAGGUGAACCUGCGGAAGGAUCAUUAGUGAAUUGAAUAUGUUAGCGGACCUCUUCGGAGUCCCUAGCAUCAAAUCAUAUCCAUAACACCUGUGAACUGUAAGGCUGUCUUGAAAACGAAGUGAUUAGAGCGCCUGCCCAUUUUAUACAAACAUUAAAGUAACAAACGUAGUCUUAUUAUAAUCUAAUAAAACUUUCAACAACGGAUCUCUUGGCUCUC
rnacentral:misc_RNA from 1 species